UACGUAGGGUGCGAGCGUUGCCCGGAUUUAUUGGGCGUAAAGGGCGCGUAGGCGGCCACGCACGUCCGUUGUGAAAUCGCCCGGCUCAACUGGGCGGGGUCAGCGGAUACGGCACGGCUGGAGCAAGCUAGGGGGCAAUGGAAUUCCCGGUGUAGUGGUGGAAUGCGUAGAUAUCGGGAGGAACACCAGUGGCGAAGGCGGUUGCCUGGAGCUUUGCUGACGCUGAUGCGCGAAAGCGUGGGGAGCGAUCCGG
rnacentral:rRNA from 1 species